rnacentral:piRNA from 1 species
UGACAUUCAUGUUCAGCCUUUGACGACC